rnacentral:rRNA from 1 species
AUUGAACGCUGGCGGCAUGCUUUACACAUGCAAGUCGAACGGCAGCGCGGGCUUCGGCCUGGCGGCGAGUGGCGAACGGGUGAGUAAUACAUCGGAACGUGCCCAGUAGUGGGGGAUAGCUCGGCGAAAGCCGGAUUAAUACCGCAUACGACCUGAGGGUGAAAGCGGGGGAUCUUCGGACCUCGCGCUAUUGGAGCGGCCGAUGGCAGAUUAGCUAGUUGGUGGGGUAAAGGCCUACCAAGGCGACGAUCUGUAGCUGGUCUGUGAGGACGACCAGCCACACUGGGACUGAGACACGGCCCAGACUCCUACGGGAGGCAGCAGUGGGGAAUUUUGGACAAUGGGCGAAAGCCUGGUCCAGCAAUGCCGCGUGUGUGAUGAAGGCCUUCGGGUUGUAAAGCACUUUUGGCGGGAACGAAAAGGACUGUGCCAAUACCACGGUUCGAUGACGGUACCCGCAGAAUAAGCACCGGCUAACUACGUG